rnacentral:piRNA from 1 species
UGGAUUUGAGGCUUCCUAAGAUGUGCUUGC